CGCUGACGAGUGGCGUGACGGGUGAGUAAUGUCUGGGAAACUGCCUGAUGGAGGGGGAUAACUACUGGAAACGGUAGCUAAUACCGCAUAACGUCGCAAGACCAAAGAGGGGGACCUUCGGGCCUCUUGCCAUCGGAUGUGCCCAGAUGGGAUUAGCUAGUAGGUGGGGUAACGGCUCACCUAGGCGACGAUCCCUAGCUGGUCUGAGAGGAUGACCAGCCACACUGGAACUGAGACACGGUCCAGACUCCUACGGGAGGCAGCAGUGGGGAAUAUUGCACAAUGGGCGCAAGCCUGAUGCAGCCAUGCCGCGUGUAUGAAGAAGGCCUUCGGGUUGUAAAGUACUUUCAGCGGGGAGGAAGGGAGUAAAGUUAAUACCUUUGCUCAUUGACGUUACCCGCAGAAGAAGCACCGGCUAACUCCGUGCCAGCAGCCGCGGUAAUACGGAGGGUGCAAGCGUUAAUCGGAAUUACUGGGCGUAAAGCGCACGCAGGCGGUUUGUUAAGUCAGAUGUGAAAUCCCCGGGCUCAACCUGGGAACUGCAUCUGAUACUGGCAAGCUUGAGUCUCGUANAGGGGGGUAGAAUUCCAGGUGUAGCGGUGAAAUGCGUAGAGAUCUGGAGGAAUACCGGUGGCGAAGGCGGCCCCCUGGACGAAGACUGACGCUCAGGUGCGAAAGCGUGGGGAGCAAACANGGAUUAGAUACCCUGGUAGUCCACGC
rnacentral:rRNA from 1 species